rnacentral:rRNA from 1 species
UACGGAAGGGGGGCUAGCGUUGCUCGGAAUGACUGGGCGUAAAGGGCGCGUAGGCGGAUGGCACAGUCAGAUGUGAAAUUCCCGGGCUUAACCUGGGGGCUGCAUUUGAUACGUGUGAUCUAGAGUGAGGAAGAGGGUCGUGGAAUUCCCGAGUGUAGAGGUGAAAUUCGUAGAUAUUGGGAAGAACACCGGUGGCGAAGGCGGCGACCUGGUCCUUGACUGACGCUGGAGGCGCGAAAGCGUGGG